UGGAGUUCCAGACGUGUGCUUGUCCUAGCAGGAGAGCGCAGCUACUCGUAUACCCUUGACCGAGAAGAACGGUCCUCCUCUAUCGGGGAUGGUCGUCCUCUUCGACCAAGCACGCAGCUUUGGGAGGGACGCACAUGGAGCGAUGAGGGAGGAAGGGGACACCCGCCCAGCCAGCCAGAUCAGCCGAAUCAACCCUGGUGAUCAAUGGGGUGACAGAUAGAUGGGAAGA